rnacentral:rRNA from 1 species
UACGGGGGGGGCAAGCGUUGUUCGGAAUUACUGGGCGUAAAGGGCUCGUAGGCGGCCAACUAAGUCCGACGUGAAAUCCCAAGGCUUAACCUUGGAACUGCGUCGGAUACUGGAUGGCUUGAAUUCGGGAGAGGGAUGCAGAAUUCCAGGUGUAGCGGUGAAAUGCGCAGAUAUCAGGAGGAACACCAAUGGCGAAGGCAGCUCGCUGGGACGGUACUGACGCUGAGACGCGAAAGCGUGGGGAGCAAACAGG